GGAGGAAAAGAAACCAACAGGGAUUGCCUCAGUAACGGCGAGUGAAGCGGCAACAGCUCAAAUUUGAAAUCUGGCCCUAGGCCCGAGUUGUAAUUUGCAGAGGAUGCUUUUGGUGAGGUGCCUUCCGAGUUCCCUGGAACGGGACGCCAUAGAGGGUGAGAGCCCCGUCUGGUCGGACACCGAGCCUCUGUAAAGCUCCUUCGACGAGUCGAGUAGUUUGGGAAUGCUGCUCUAAAUGGGAGGUAUAUGUCUUCUAAAGCUAAAUACCGGCCAGAGACCGAUAGCGCACAAGUAGAGUGAUCGAAAGAUGAAAAGCACUUUGAAAAGAGAGUUAAAUAGCACGUGAAAUUGUUGAAAGGGAAGCGUUUAUGACCAGACUUGGCCCGGUUGAUCAUCCAGCGUUCUCGCUGGUGCACUCUGCCGGUCCAGGCCAGCAUCAGUUCGUCGCGGGGGAUAAAGGUUUCGGGAAUGUGGCUCCUCCGGGAGUGUUAUAGCCCGUUGCGUAAUACCCUGCGGUGGACUGAGGUCCGCGCUUCUGCAAGGAUGCUGGCGUAAUGGUCAUCAACGA
rnacentral:rRNA from 1 species